rnacentral:rRNA from 1 species
AGGAUGAACGCUAGCGACAGGCUUAACACAUGCAAGUCGAGGGGCAGCACAGGUAGCAAUACCGGGUGGCGACCGGCGCACGGGUGAGUAACGCGUAUGCAACUUACCUAUCAGAGGGGGAUAACCCGGCGAAAGUCGGACUAAUACCGCAUGAAGCAGGGGUCCCGCAUGGGGAUAUUUGCUAAAGAUUCAUCGCUGAUAGAUAGGCAUGCGUUCCAUUAGGCAGUUGGCGGGGUAACGGCCCACCAAACCGACGAUGGAUAGGGGUUCUGAGAGGAAGGUCCCCCACAUUGGUACUGAGACACGGACCAAACUCCUACGGGAGGCAGCAGUGAGGAAUAUUGGUCAAUGGCCGAGAGGCUGAACCAGCCAAGUCGCGUGAGGGAUGAAGGUUCUAUGGAUCGUAAACCUCUUUUAUAAGGGAAUAAAGUGCGGGACGUGUCCCGUUUUGUAUGCACCUUAUGAAUAAGGAUCGGCUAACUCCGUGCCAGCAGCCGCGGUAAUACGGAGGAUCCGAGCGUUAUCCGGAUUUAUUGGGUUUAAAGGGUGCGUAGGCGGCCUUUUAAGUCAGCGGUGAAAGUCUGUGGCUCAACCAUAGAAUUGCCGUUGAAACUGGGGGGCUUGAGUAUGUUUGAGGCAGGCGGAAUGCGUGGUGUAGCGGUGAAAUGCAUAGAUAUCACGCAGAACCCCGAUUGCGAAGGCAGCCUGCCAAGCCAUUACUGACGCUGAUGCACGAAAGCGUGGGGAUCAAACAGGAUUAGAUACCCUGGUAGUCCACGCAGUAAACGAUGAUCACUAGCUGUUUGUGAUACGCUGUAAGCGGCACAGCGAAAGCGUUAAGUGAUCCACCUGGGGAGUACGCCGGCAACGGUGAAACUCAAAGGAAUUGACGGGGGCCCGCACAAGCGGAGGAACAUGUGGUUUAAUUCGAUGAUACGCGAGGAACCUUACCCGGGUUUGAACGCAUUCGGACCGAGGUGGAAACACCUUUUCUAGCAAUAGCCGUUUGCGAGGUGCUGCAUGGUUGUCGUCAGCUCGUGCCGUGAGGUGUCGGCUUAAGUGCCAUAACGAGCGCAACCCUUGCCACUAGUUACUAACAGGUAAAGCUGAGGACUCUGGUGGGACUGCCAGCGUAAGCUGCGAGGAAGGCGGGGAUGACGUCAAAUCAGCACGGCCCUUACAUCCGGGGCGACACACGUGUUACAAUGGCGUGGACAAAGGGAAGCCACCUGGCGACAGGGAGCGAAUCCCCAAACCACGUCUCAGUUCGGAUCGGAGUCUGCAACCCGACUCCGUGAAGCUGGAUUCGCUAGUAAUCGCGCAUCAGCCAUGGCGCGGUGAAUACGUUCCCGGGCCUUGUACACACCGCCCGUCAAGCCAUGGGAGCCGGGGGUACCUGAAGUCUGUAACCGCGAGGAUCGCCCUAGGGUA